rnacentral:rRNA from 1 species
UACGUAGGGUCCGAGCGUUGUCCGGAGUUACUGGGCGUAAAGCGCGCGCAGGCGGCGGUGUUGGCCCGGCGUGAAAGCCCCCGGCUCAACCGGGGAGGGUCGUCGGGGACCGCACCGCUUGAGGGCGGUAGGGGCUGGUGGAAUGCCUGGUGUAGUGGUGAAAUGCGUAGAGAUCAGGCGGAACACCUGUGGCGAAGGCGGCCAGCUGGGCCGUCCCUGACGCUGAGGCGCGAAGGCGUGGGGAGCAAACAGG